CCUGCCCGGGGACGGGUGUCAGUGGUGUGUCUGUGGUGUGUCCGUCUGUCCGUGUCUGUCUGUCCCUGUGCACGCUUCCAGGCGCUGUGCACCCCGCCCCGCUGUUUGCUUCCCCUUUCCCUUCCUCCUCCUCCUCCUCCGGCCGUUUUACCUCUGCCAGCACCGGGUGGGCCGCAGUCAGCCCGGCCGAGGCGCUGGGAGGCUGGGGCAGCGUGGGGGGCGAGCCCGGUGCCCCGCUUGGUGCUCCCCCCUGGGGGUUUCUCCGUAGCUUCUCCUGGCCCCCAGCCUGAGGCCCUGAGCUCUCGCAUUUCCUGCUCCGUACCGGAGUUUCCCGGCCUGACGCUGUUCCGUGGCGGUGGGGGGGGGGGGGGGAGGGGGCCGUGUCCUCGUUUUGGGCUGGUGGCAGCGUCACCCUGCUGCUGUGCCGCGAAGCACGGCUGCGUUCGGAGCCCCCCCGGGAGGGCUCUGCCUGGGGGUGGUUUUGUUCUGGUCCUCUCCAGGCCAACAAAGGGAAUUGUUCUGCCCAGUUCAGCUGCUGGGCCCCAGCACAGGGCCUUGUGCUGUGCUGUGCUGGUGCCCUGGGUGCCCACCCCCGCCCCCCCUUUGCUGCUUCUCCCACACCGCAGGGAGGGGGCAGACAAAGGGCGGCCCUGGAAGGCUGCAGGUAACGAGCUCAAUGAGGCAGAGCCCUGCUGGGGUCACUGGGCUGCUCCGACUCACAGGGGUCUGCUCAAGCUGGGGGGCGUGGGGGGCAGCGGGACACGGACCCAGGGCUCUGUUUGUGUCUGCGCUGAGCUCCCCGCGGGUUUGGCAGCGCCGCGCGGCCUGAGGCUGGAAUUCCAGAAGCAGCCAAAGCCUCGUGUGCAGCUACUGCUCCGAACGGGGCCUGCGCCUGGCUCGGGGGUCCCAGAGCAAAGAUCCCAUCAGCACCGGCCCCCAAUGGAUCCGAGUUGUAAAUUCUGGACAAGCAACAAGCGUUCAGAGCUUUUGUCUCAAACCCUGGCAGUUCCUUUGUUUUGCCUCUUGGCUUUUUUCGGGAGCGGUGGCAGGAUCUCCUGGCAGUUUGCUUCCAGAGGCUGGGAGCCCCCCAAAGCCCCAGUGGCCGCCACGGCUCGUGCAGCAGCGCGGGGAGGAGCAGCCUCGUGGGGAGCCCCUGCAGGGGGGGUGGGGGUGCUGCGGUGCUCCUCUGAGCAUCCUCAGCUUCGGGGGGACUCCAAGGCCAGCGGUGAGCCCCGGCCUGCCCCAUUGACGUCCCUGCAGGGCCCGGUGGGCGCUGUUGUCCCUGCUGGCGCUGGCCGUGGGCCGCUGCGUGAUCUUCAGCUGCGUUUAUUUUUAGUGCCUGAGCUGUGCAGCGCGGCUGGCUUAGGGCUGGUCUUUAUUUUUUUGUUGUUGACGAGCUAUUUUUAG
rnacentral:lncRNA from 1 species